rnacentral:rRNA from 1 species
AUUGAACGCUGGCGGCAGGCCUAACACAUGCAAGUCGAGCGAGCGGCGGACGGGUGAGUAAUGUAUGGGGAUCUGCCCGAUAGAGGGGGAUAACUACUGGAAAAGGUAGCUAAUACCGCAUACUAUCGGAUGAACCCAUAUGGGAUUAGCUAGUAGGUGGGGUAAAGGCUCACCUAGGCGACGAUCUCUAGCUGUGCUGAGAGGAUGAUCAGCAACACUGGGACUGAGAAACGGCCCAGACUCAUACGGGAGGCAGCAGUGGGGAAUAUUGCACAAUGGGCGCAAGCCUGAUGCAGCCAUGCCGCGGGUAUGAAGAAGACCUUCGGGUUGUAAAGCACUUUCAGCGAGGAGGCGUUACUCGCAGAAGAAGCACCGGCUAACUCCGUGCCAGCAGCCGCGGUAAUUC